rnacentral:rRNA from 1 species
AUUGAACGCUGGCGGCAUGCCUUACACAUGCAAGUCGAACGGCAGCACGGGUGCUUGCACCUGGUGGCGAGUGGCGAACGGGUGAGUAAUGCAUCGGAACGUACCCGGAAGUGGGGGAUAACGUAGCGAAAGUUACGCUAAUACCGCAUAGUCUGUGAGCAGGAAAGAGGGGGAUCGCAAGACCUCUCGCUUUCGGAGCGGCCGAUGUCGGAUUAGCUAGUUGGCGGGGUAAAGGCCCACCAAGGCAACGAUCCGUAGCGGGUCUGAGAGGAUGCUCCGCCCCACUGGGGCUGAGACACGGCCCAGACUCCUACGGGAGGCAACAGUGGGGGAUUUUUGACAAUGGGGGCAACCCUGAUCCAGCCAUGCCGCGUUAGUGAAAAAGGCCUUCGGGUUGUAAAGCUCUUUCGGCUGGGAAGAAAUCGCAUCUCCUAAUACGGGGUGUGGAUGACGGUACCAGCAUAAGAAGCACCGGCUAACUACGUGCCAGCAGCCGCCGUAA